UUGAGAAAAUUUCAUGUAAUUGUCCCCUCCAAAGUUGAUAUCAGAUUUUCGCCCCUGCUCUAGGCUGUAAAUGGCAGUGAAUAAUGUAAUUUGAAUAACGGCGCAAAAGUCCUGUCAUUUGAACAUUUAAUUCAAUUUAUUCCAUAUAGGUCAGUUGUGGGUCUACUCUCAACAGUUUAUAAGGUCUAGAAAGGCAUUGUAGCAGGCCAGUCUGGCUGUAAUUUUACUUCUGAUAUUGAGAUGCGCUGUUUGUUGCAGAUCAUAAUUCUCCCAAGUCGUCCUUUAAUAAUGUGGCUCCCAGCAGGCCCAGUUAUUCAGGAAAGCUUCAUGCGCACCUAGGACCUGCUUCAAUAGUCCGCAACAGUGGACACGUCAUAAUACCCAUAAAAACACGGAAAUGGUCACAAUGGUUUUUCUGCCAUUCCUUUUUCACAUCGUGAAUAUUACAACAAAUUCUAAUAAAUUGUAUGUUUGGUGUAGGCUUACCUUGGCGUGACAUUUUGAUAGCCGUGUAAUUCUCUCUUGGACAAGUGCCGGGGUCAGCGGAGCUCCCAAGUGACCAGCGACAGGGCCAACAGCCAACUGACUGCCUUCUCUACUCUGACCUCCCUUCGUUAGUAACCCCCUCCCUGGGCUUCUCCUCAGACCUGGGGCUGCUAGGGGGACCUAUUUGUGGUCCGCCACUCGUCUGAGGGGAAGGGGAUAGAGACUGAAGGAACAACAGCUGCUGAUGGGGACAUCACGCUUCCCAUGGAAGAGCAGCAUCCUCCUGAGAGAAGGUGCUGUAAUCUGCAAUAAUCGAAUUCUCAGACAUGCAUGAUAGCCAUAGUAUGUCUCGAAGCCACAUUGUACGUGAGUGAACACAUGACAUUGAACAUAUUGACACAUGACGUCGUGUGAUCUAUAUUGUAUUUACAAAAACAAUCAACAGUGCAAGUCAUAUGAUGAUCUUACAUGGAAAGCUCUUGAAAACGUUCACAGACACACACAAACAGAGAUAUAAAAGCAGUGUUAAAUAGACAAAGUGUUAUUAAAUGUAUUUUGUGUAAAGAGAAUCUUCUGGGGUGCCAGAGGAAUGCAAAGAAUUGUAGGCACUUUUUUCUGACAUGGUAUAGUGAUGCCAUCUAGAGUUGCAAUGUGUAACAUUCACACACAGCAAAGAGCCCAGUGGGUUCACUAGUAGCAAUACAAGGUGACAUCAUCUGUCUGAUAAACAGUCUUGUCUGUUUAAUAAUUUAUUUAAUAAAGUGUUAUUUACUUAAUUGACUUAA